rnacentral:lncRNA from 1 species
GGGAGUGUCACUUGUAUCAGCCUGUGAAGAGCAUCUGUGAAAUACCUACUCACCAUUUCUUGAGUCUUUUAUUUAUAACUUCCAUUCCUAAAUCUUGUUUCUUGAUGAGAACAGCAUCUACUUAACUUCUCAGGUAAUCUGCUGGCUGGGCCUUCACGUUUGAAGCUCCAAGCUCAUGAAUAAUGCAUGGGCGAGAUAGAGAGCUAAGAUGAGUGAGGAGGACUGGCAGACAAAGAAACAAGAGUCUCAAUGACCAAAGAGCCUGUGCAGGAAGCAGUCCCAUGCAGUGUAAGUGCUCCUGUGAAAUGUUCAAUUUCUUGAGAAAUUGCUCAUCCACCAGGAACAUAGCACAGCACUCUUGGUUAGUGGACACUUGAUAAACCAAUUGCAAUUUA